GACGAACGCUGGCGGCGUGCCUAAUACAUGCAAGUAGAACGCUGAAGGAGGAGCUUGCUUCUCUGGAUGAGUUGCGAACGGGUGAGUAACGCGUAGGUAACCUGCCUGGUAGCGGGGGAUAACUAUUGGAAACGAUAGCUAAUACCGCAUAAGAGUAGAUGUCGCAUGACAUUUGCUUAAAAGGUGCAAUUGCAUCACUACCAGAUGGACCUGCGUUGUAUUAGCUAGUUGGUGAGGUAACGGCUCACCAAGGCAACGAUACAUAGCCGACCUGAGAGGGGGAUCGGCCAACCUGGGAAUGAGACACGGGCCAGACUCCUACGGGAGGCAGCAGUAGGGAAUCUUCGGCAAUGGACGGAAGUCUGACCGAGCAAAGCCGCGGGAGUGAAGAAGGUUUUCGGAUCGUAAAGCUCUGUUGUAAGAGAAGAACGAGUGUGAGAGUGGAAAGUUCACACUGUGACGGUACCUUACCAGAAAGGGACGGCUAACUACGUG
rnacentral:rRNA from 1 species